CCUACGGGUGGCAGCAGUCGAGAAUCAUUCACAAUGGGGGAAACCCUGAUGGUGCGACGCCGCGUGGGGGAAUGAAGGUCUUCGGAUUGUAAACCCCUGUCAUGUGGGAGCAAAUUAAAAAGAUAGUACCCCAAGAGGAAGAGACGGCUAACUCUGUGCCAGCGGCCGCGGUAAUACAGAGGUCUCAAGCGUUGUUCGGAAUCACUGGGCGUAAAGCGUGCGUAGGCUGUUUCGUAAGUCGUGUGUGAAAGGCGCGGGCUCAACCCGCGGACGGCACAUGAUACUGCGAGACUAGAGUAAUGGAGGGGGAACCGGAAUUCUCGGUGUAGCAGUGAAAUGCGUAGAUAUCGAGAGGAACACUCGUGGCGAAGGCGGGUUCCUGGACAUUAACUGACGCUGAGGCACGAAGGCCAGGGGAGCGAAAGGGAUUAGAUACCCCUGUAGUC
rnacentral:rRNA from 1 species